rnacentral:lncRNA from 1 species
AUACUACGUAUCAACAUGAUUUAGUGCGACCGGAAUGCAUGGAACUGUAAUGUCAUUUUGUCAUAUACGAGUCUUGAAGGAUGCCAUUUGUACAUGAAGUAUAAGCACCAUCAUACUAAUUCGUGCCCCUUCCCGAUCAGUUUGGAACUGAUUCCUCUCACAUGGUCAGUGGGCCCAUGUCCGUGGAAGUUAAAUCGGAGGAGGCGAGGCCAAUCCUUUUAGUUCACCACCACUAGGAGCAGGCCAGAGCAAUAUAAAGUGGAGGGGAAACAGCAGCCCGUUAGAUAGGAACGUAUGGAGAGUGCAUAUGGAGCUGAAAUGGUGAACAAGAAAAAAAAAGUAAUGUAUAAAUCACUAUAUAGGAAUGUAAGGCUGUAGGAAAUAGGCUAAUACAUGAAUAUCUCCAUCCACUGACAUCCUUUAACAUAGAAAUAUCUUAGUGGACGGUGAGGAGACAGAGGACGUGGGGUCAGUCGGACCAAGAUGUAUAACUGGCUGCGAGAAGAUUCACGCCCUGCGCAACAGGAGAAUGGAUAGUUUAAGAUCCAUUCACGCCUUGCGCAGCAGUAUGUUGGCACUCAGUAAUCUGCGUUGUUUAAGAUCCACCUUUCAGAUUUUCAUUUGUGCAUAACUACUUCUGGAAGAAUUUCUGUCGGUUGUGGCUUUUCAUCAUGAUGGUGGCUGGUGAUGUAGUGAGUCAAAAGAGGGAUGAUGCCAUUGGAUUUUUUUUCUGUUAAAAACAAUACAAGAUCGAUUUAGGAUUUUGGAAAAUCCAACAAUAAUGAAAGGUUACAAAGAAUAAAACAAGGCUCAGCAAAGACAACAUUGAUGGAUAAAAAGUCGAAUUGUGAAGAUCGACAAAUAGCUUUCUAUCCAAAAAAAGGUUCUGCAAUCUUUCUCAACAAUAUACAUGGCUAACCAUAUACAGCUGUCUAGCAUCAAGAUUUCGGUGACAUCUGUAUAUGUAUGUCUGCCUUUUAUAUAUGAUAACAGACAGUGCUUCCCCAAGUAGUGUUUUUGGAGGGCUUGUAUCCAACCGUCAAAAUGUUAAGCCAUAUCUAGUUUUACAAUGUCAGAUGUGUUUUAGUUCAACAUUUGGAACAUCACAUUGGUAUUAACCUUUUUGACGUAGUGAUUAUACAUUUAGUACGUACAAGCACCAUCGUACUUCAUUCAUCGGUCCUUUACUGGUGGAGUAAUGAUUAUACAUUUAUUAGUACAAGCACCAUCCUACUUCAUGUCCCUGUCCUUUAGUUCACCACCACACCAGGUGAAGCAAGAGCAAUAUAAAGUGGAGGAGACGGAGCAGCCCUUUAGUCCGUCACCACUAACCACCCAAAGAGCAACAACAUACAACAUGCCGGAGAAAGAGAGGGUAAGGUGCAGAUACGUACGAAGAGGGAGAGGGGCAGAGGCAUGAAUAAAUCACCGUAUAGCUAGCUUGGAAUGAAAGGUUACAGGAAUUAGGCUAAUAUGCAUUGUUUCCAAUCUACUCACAUCUUUUUGCAUACUAGCUAGCAGGGUGAAGAUGCAUUCCUUGGGUUGGGCAAUAAGGGAGUGGAUAGUCCAUAGCUACUAGCCACCACCAUCCUUCAAGUUGAGACGGGAGGACGUACUGUCACGUAGUUGAGUUCAAGCUGACCCCAAAGACAAAAUAUAACAGAGAAGAAGAGGUCCAAACUGACAAGCUAGUGUACUGCAAGCUACACAUUUAUGGAUAGAUUUCAUUCAAGCUAAUCAUGUACUGCAAGCUAGUGUGGGGCAAUUGUAAAUGUCCUAUGAUAUUUUUGUUCCAAGUUUUUAUGUUUUAUUACAUUGUCU